rnacentral:rRNA from 1 species
GACGAACGCUGGCGGCGUGCUUAACACAUGCAAGUCGAACGGAAAGGCCCUGCUUUUGUGGGGUGCUCGAGUGGCGAACGGGUGAGUAACACGUGAGUAACCUGCCCUUGACUUUGGGAUAACUUCAGGAAACUGGGGCUAAUACCGGAUAGGAGCUCCUGCUGCAUGGUGGGGGUUGGAAAGUUUCGGCGGUUGGGGAUGGACUCGCGGCUUAUCAGCUUGUUGGUGGGGUAGUGGCUUACCAAGGCUUUGACGGGUAGCCGGCCUGAGAGGGUGACCGGCCACAUUAGGACUGAGAUACGGCCCAGACUCCUACGGGAGGCAACAGUGGGGAAUAUUGCACAAUGGGCGGACGCCUGAUGCGGCAACGCCGCGUGCGGGAUGACGGCCUUCGGGUUGUAAACCGCUUUCGCCUGUGACGAAGCGUGAGUGACGGUAAUGGGUGAAGAAGCACCGGCUAACUACGUG